GCAAAGCCCUUUCUCCACCCCGAUCCACUGCCUCUCCCCAGCACUAUAAGCUUGGUGGCCAGGGUUAGGUGACAGGUGGUGCCAGUCACCAGCCAAGCCUCUUGGCUUCGCCCCUUCUACCUGGCUCCCUCCCAUUAGCCUGGGGCCAAGGAAGCUGCAGUCUGGAAGCUGGAGUGCCCCCAAGUGGUGAGAGCCUGAAAAUUACUCUUUCUGUCACAUCUUAGAAGGUUUAAUUUCUUCUCCAUGAGACAGGGCAGUUGCUGCUGCUCCUCUCUCUUGGCAAUGAGCCUAAAGUUCAUAUUCCCCUCCCUAUAUAGUGAAAAGGGACACUCACACCUGUCCAGGAUUUUCUGUCUGUGUACAAAGUACUUUGACAUUGAUUGCCAAAACCCUCACGGAAAAAACUAAGUCUCAGAAGGCUUAAGAGACUUGCCAAAGGUCACAGAGCUCAUAAGGGAAAGAGUCAAGAUUUGAACUCUUCAACUCCUCUGCUCUUUCUGCCGGCACCUGCUGGGUCUGAGCAGCAGGCAUGCAGAAGGGGUGAGCUACCAGUCUGCUCCCCAGAAGAGCAAGACUCCUGGGAAGCUCAGUCCUCCCAGCUGAGCACAUUUUUAUGAGGAGCCCUGAGAACCCAGAGGCACAUCUAGGUGGCAGUACCCAGAGGAUGAGAAUUUGCAACAAAAGGCAUAACUUGAGCAAAGCACUUGGGUUCGUGAUGCCCAGGAUUGAAGACGUGUUCAGGGGCAACCCUGGGCACUUGUCCUUGAAAGAUGAGUCCCAGCGAGGCACUGGCUGAAUCAGGCCUGGAGCCCUGCAUAUCAGAUCUUCAGCCUGCUCCGUGGCCAGAGAGGGAGGGCCUAGAGGGCAUGGUUCUUGGUGUGGUCUUGGUCACAGACUGUGGCUGGAUCGUGUAGAUGUCAUCAUGGCAUUUUCUCUGCAGUUGCAGUUGAGUAGAAUUCUGCUUUUCCGUCUUGUAUUCCACCUCAUCACCAUGGGGUAUGUGGUCCCCAGCUGCUUGCCAAGCCCGGGAACCCAGAGGGGGUGGAGCGGGCGAUGGAGCGGGCCUGUGGGGAGCAGGCUCCAUGCCGGGGUACAGCCCAGAGGAAGCCUGGCCAGCCCCACCUCCAGAAGCAGGAUCACAGCCGAGGAAACCCAGCCAGGCUUUAAAAUUCCUGGCAGGCCAGCUUCAGCAUUCCAUAACCAACCUCACCUGAGCCAGACUCGGGUCCCACUCCCUCAUGCUCUCCAUGGGUAUCCUCUAUCUCGCGUGCUGCUGAAUCCAGCCAGAUGGUUGGGAGCGGCUGCCACAGAGCCGGAAGGGGGACUAGAACGUUUGCUUCCCUGUGGCUGCAUCCAUAGUCCCUGGGGACCCUGCUGUGGCAGUGAGGCCCUGCGUCCAGACCAGCUCCUGGUCCAGGGGGUAUUUUCCUUUCUGAAGAGAAGAGAUGUAACAGCUUUGCAGAUAAGUACCAGCCCGAGGGAGUCAAAUGGGUGAAAUCAUCUUUGGGCCUGACUCCAGCAAGACCAGCAUCUCCAGGCUCCGGCCUUCCUCCUUGUGCCUGAGAGUCAGGGAAAGCGUGAGACUGCCCAGAGGCCACCUCCGUGGGUCAGCCAGACCAUCUGGAUCUAUGGUGGGACUCCAGCUCUCCCUUACCCAAGGGGAGGAGGUAAGGCCAGGCCUCUGGCAACGUGGAGUUGUCUGUAAUGACCUUUAGAGGCCCAAGGGCCUGUCCCCAUCUCCUGACCACAAGGCCUCUGCACCCCUGUGUCAUAUCCCAUGAGAGAGACUUGUUCUCGUGGCAUGUACCAUCCCUGUGAGAGGGCGUUGUAUAUCAUUUUGUAUUUUUUAAUUCAUUUUAAUCUACAGGCUGGAAUCUAAUUUUUAAAUUUCAUUGGAACUCACAUUUUAAAAAAGAAAAACAUUUAAAAUAAUAAUAAUAAACCUUUGACUGGUGUCUUCCAAGUAGUUUGAUCGAAGAACUCAUAGGUGUUUUCGAAACAGCCUGGAGUGUAAAGUCUGGAAGCCAUGGCCUCGCUUGUGUGUGUGAAGUGUAAAUCUGGUUUUGUUUUGUUGUUUUGGAUUCUUUUGGGUUUUUGUUUCGUUUUGUUUUGAAGAUCAGAUAGUGAUCACUCUGAAAGAUUGAAGCCAAGAAUUUGUAACUAUGAUAUUUACUGUAAGCUGUAGAACAUCCAGUAACUAUUAAAAAAAAGUUUCCAAAAAAAA
rnacentral:lncRNA from 1 species